UGGGGAAUAUUGGACAAUGGGCGAAAGCCUGAUCCAGCCAUGCCGCGUGUGUGAAGAAGGUCUUCGGAUUGUAAAGCACUUUAAGUUGGGAGGAAGGGCAGUAAGCGAAUACCUUGCUGUUUUGACGUUACCGACAGAAUAAGCACCGGCUAACUCUGUGCCAGCAGCCGCGGUAAUACAGAGGGUGCAAGCGUUAAUCGGAAUUACUGGGCGUAAAGCGCGCGUAGGUGGUUCGUUAAGUUGAAUGUGAAAGCCCCGGGCUCAACCUGGGAACUGCAUCCCAAACUGGCGAGCUAGAGUAGGGAAGAGGGUGGUGGAAUUUCCUGUGUAGCGGUGAAAUGCGUAGAUAUAGGAAGGAACACCAGUGGCGAAGGCGACCACCUGGGCUCAUACUGACACUGAGGUGCGAAAGCGUGGGGAGCAAACAGG
rnacentral:rRNA from 1 species